CUGGUUUGUUCGGAGUAGGAGACACACAUAUGGUGUUGGAAUUGCACUGAUGUUGAUGUGCUCAGCACUCUGGUCUUCCCUCCUGUGUUUGUUUACCAGUCGGGGCUAAUUGCUGACGCAGCAGACCUACAGAUUCUGUACUGCCUGCAUCUUAGCUGGAAGAGUUCAAGGGCAACAGUGCCAUCACAAAUUGCUGACAGGUCCAGAGAGGUGUUGUCCUGCCAGGCUGGCAAGGCAAACCACAGCUGGAGAUGCACCACAAGCCCCUCAAGUACCCUCUCCACUCUCUCCACUCCUCUUCACUAUGCUUUGUAAACACUCACUUUGCUUGAUUAUAAUGGCCCCCCCAUUAGACUGCUUCAUUCAUCUGUUAAAGGUC